CCCUUAGAUGUUCUGGGCCACACGCGCGCUACACUGAAGGGAUCAGCGUGUUUUCCCUUUCCGAGAGGAACGGGUAACCCGCUGAACCCCCUUCGUGGUAGGGAUCGGAGCUUGCAAUUGUUCUCCGUGAACCAGGAAUUCCCAGUAAGCGCAAGUCAUAAGCUUGCGUUGAUUACGUCCCUGCCCUUUGUACACACCGCCCGUCGCUACUACCGAUUGAACGUUUUAGUGAGGUAUUUGGACUGGGCCUUGGGAGGUUUCGGCCUCCCUUGUUGCUCGGAAAGACUCCCAAACUUGAGCGUUUAGAGGAAGUAAAAGUCGUAACA
rnacentral:rRNA from 1 species